rnacentral:rRNA from 1 species
GACGUAGGGGGCCAGCGUUGUUCGGAAUUACUGGGGGUAAAGGGUUCGUAGGCGGUGCGGCAAGUUGGGAGUGAAAUCUCUGGGCUUAACCCAGAGGCUGCUUCCAAAACUGCUGUGCUUGAGUGUGGGAGAGGCGCGUGGAAUUGCAGGUGUAGCGGUGAAAUGCGUAGAUAUCUGCAGGAACACCCGUGGCGAAAGCGGCGCGCUGGACCACUACUGACGCUGAGGAACGAAAGCUAGGGGAGCAAACAGG